UUGGUCUGCAAAUGCUCGUGAGGGCGCUCUGAUGCUGUCUUGGCCGGCAGCCUUACGAGGGUCAACACGUGGAGACCGUAAUAAGCAUGUAACCCUUGUUGUCCUCAGGGGCUCUCAUCGGCAGCUUAGUCGUUUUGCUUGAAACGUGAGAAAAGGGUGUUUACCUCGUCCGGUAGAGCGGUGUUGGUGUCGGCGACGUGACGCAUUCUUUUUGUAAUCUGCGAUUGUUAGAAGCCCUGACACAUGUGCCUUCAUCCAAAGUUUUCACAUUCUAUGAUCAGAUUUCGUUGUUGGCAAUUACCUUUAUCUUAUGUCAACAUGGAUUUGAUUCGGGUGAAUGUAUUAUUAUUAUCCUGGCAAUCUUUCAUAGAUAGGUGAGGUCACAGUUAAACCUUUACUUAGUGUUUUGCCAGAGGUUAUAAUGCCCUACAUAGAAGUAUCUGACCUGACUUUGAACAAAGACACAUUUCCCUCCGUACCACAGGACGGCGCAGUAGAGCUUUGAUCAACAUAACUGUGCUCUUUUCCUCCGGAGAGAACCUAAGCGUCACCAAAGAUUUGUUUAACUAACCCUCGUUGUUCUAGCUCUGGCGUCACGUGACAAAGCUGCAAAAUCAAAACAGUUCUCUCUAUUUAUCUGUAUAAACAAUGUAACCAGCUCCUGAAUUCAUUUACUCAUGUAAGUUAAAUAAUCAAUAGGUCCAUCUCUCUUCCAAUAACAUUGGCGAGAGAAGAACUGCACACGUGUUAAUGAAUAAACGAACAAGUGAGCUAGCUAGCUAAUUCAUUGACAGAUGUUCUGAUAAUGCCAGUAACCAACCAAAGAAAAGCAACAUCAGGAGAGAGAUGAUGCGGUGUUCUGCUCUUUGACUUUACAUCUAAUGCAGCAACUGCCUUAAUAUUACUGGAGCAAUAGUAGUAUAGCAAUCAUAUCAGUAGUAUAGCAGUGUAAUAACUAGUGUUAUGCAGGUGCCCUUUCUGUUCAUUAGUUUGUCUGUAAUGUGGAAACUGUGUGUUUGUGGCUACUAGCUAUAUGUCAUUAUACUGUUGUGACUGUGUUGUGUUGUUGCUGUGUCAGGUGCAGGGCACCAACGACAGCAGUGUGCUCAGUAAGGUGUCUGCUGUAGCUCAGGGUUACUUCCUGGAUGACUACCUGAAGCAGUUUGUGUUUAAGGAGUUUAGGAGAGCCCCUCUCAUCAACAGGUCGCUAAGAUAGAAACAUAACAUGUGCACACACACACACUCAAUAGAUUUGUAGAGUUAGAAGGAUCUUCCUCUAUGUAUUUGUUUGUGUUUGUACUGUAUCUCUGGUGCAGGGAUUACUAUGGGGUUACUAUGUACGCUGGAGAGCUGUAGACCACUGUGUCAAGCAGUUUCUGUGGCUGACAGAAAGCUGCCCCAGGAGACAGGUAAGCUUAGCCUGGUCCAAGGUCUGUUUGUGCUGUUUUGCCAAAUCCUCCCCUGUGACGACCCCCAUAGUGUCCCCUCCCCCAAGGUCAGCGCUGAGCCCUCUCUCCCUGGUGGUGAAGCCCAUGCAUGGGGAGCUGUGUGUGGAGGGUCUGAGGAUGGCCUCUACCUUUACUGGGUCCUGGGCUGGUGCUGCUCAGUGGGGGUUCAGGCAGAGUGGGUAGAGGGGCUGUCCCCUCCUCCCAGGUGUCCGACUGUAUCACACUGUACCAUCUGUCCCAAACUGUCCAUCUGUCCCUCGGUGGGGAGCUGUGGCGUUUCCACUCCACCCAAUCAGAACCCUUUUCAGAGUGAGCUAUGACCCUUGUGACCUGCCUGACCCAGUUGCACCUGACAACCAGGCCUCACUGAGGCUCCCCUUGAAGGAGAUAGGCUGUGCUGGCAACCUGCCUCAACCAAGACGGAGGCACACUGCGACCAUACUGAGGCAGGAAGGUCAGAACUUCCUUUCUGUGUUUGAAGGGCAGAACGAGGCUGAGGAUGCACUGUAUCUUGAUGACCAGCGUUGGACCGAGACUCUUGACGGGUCAACAAUGAUGGCUCUGAUUGGUGGAGGAGGAAACUGCUUCGCCUUUGGGACUCAUCACAACCCUCACCCUGUCACUGUGGACCUCAAGCCUGUUCUAUAACAAUGGUUGCUAGAAGUAUUCUUUGUGAGGACAUUUUUGUACAGUAUCAACUUGGUAUUGGAAACCUGAGUCGACCUGUGGCAGUGGAACUGAAGCAUCGAUAAGCUAUCUUGACACCUGUAGAACUCAAGGUCAUGGUGACAUUCUCUUAUUGUUAUUAGUUCCUUUGUUAUUCGGGCGAUUCCAACAGAAAAGAUUGCUCCCUCUAGCUUUCACCAAAAUGAGUCAGUGGCUGAGUUACACAUACAGAAGUACAUCUUCCUUUGGGUUGCAGCAGUUCAGGGCCAUGGGCUACCUUCCAGCCCUACACACUCACUCACACAGACACAUAAAAAAGUCCCAACAUAUCAGAUCUGCUUACCAGACACAUUUUUAUUUCAGGUGAAACAAAGGACUCACAGUAAAAGGAUAGGACUCACAGUAAUAGGAUAGGACUCACAGUAAUAGGAUAGGACUCACAGUAAUAGGAUAGGACUCACAGUAAAAGGAUAGGACUCACAGUAAAAGGAUAGGACUCACAGUAAAAGGAUAGGACUCACAGUAAUAGGAUAGGACUCACAGUAAUAGGAUCAAAUAACAUUUUAUUGGUCACAUCCACGUGUUUAGCAGAUUCCUUCCCCAGUCGUCAUUGUUUUUGUUUCAUAUCUGUGUGUUGUUAAUGUUUCGGUUCAUGUUCCGUUUAUUUGAUUAAAACACUGACUCUCAGGGCACAGCGUUACAGAAUGACGACUCAACAAAGGGAAGCAUCAGGGAGUGUUUUUUCUGUUUUUGUGUUGAAGGCGAUGUUGGGUCCGGGUGUUGGAGCUGGAGCUACCUGGGAGGUCUCAGCCGUUUGUUAACUGGAUGAACAGGUCCCCAUGCCUCAGCCGAGGCUCUUAGUCCUCAGCCGGUUCGUCAGGUUUCUGCGCCUCAGCGGAGGCGACCGAUCCGCUCCGGAUCCCCGGGAUCGUCCCUGUGGUUGGAGCCGACUGCGCCGGGUAGGGGAUACUGUCACGUAUGAUCUCUCCGGCGCUCUAGGUCGUCAUGCUCCCACGCCUUAGCAGAGGUGACCGGUCCGCUCCUGAUCCCUGGGAUCCUCAUCUUGUCGGCGUCCUGCGGCUGGAGCCACGCGUCGGGUAGCGGGUACCUGUGCUCCUUCUCCGGCCACCAGGCUGCUCGUUUAUGGCGCACACCUGUCACCAGCACUACGUGGAUUUGCGCAUAAUGACACUCACCUGGACUCCAUCACCUCCUUGAUUACCUGCCCUAUAUAUGUCACCCCCUUUGGUUUCUU